UCACUUUGUUGGCCCUUUUUCUAUUCUUUUAAGAAAUAAAUCACACUGUAAAAAAGAACAUUUUUUAGCUGAUUAACAGUUUCAGCCUAUACUUUAUUCUAUAACAGUUUAAAAUAGUUUGUGUCCUUUAGGGCUCAGAAAAGAUGGUAUAAUACAUAAAAUAAGACAGUUUUUAAGAUUCUGUGGUUAAACAAAUAUAUACACAGUAAAGAACUUAAUGGAGUUCAGAUUAUGCAUUCUAAUGUUCUUAUUUUGCUUUUAUAGGCCAUUUGUGUAGGACCAGAAAACAUGCAGAUAAUGUAUCCAGCUAUAUUUGACCAGUUGUUGGCAUUUGUAGAAUUUUCCUGUAAACCUCCACAGUAUGGACAGCUGGAAACAAAGCACAUUGCAAAUGCAAAAUAUAAUCAGGCGGAAUGGGUAGCCUUGAAUUAUGUGCCGUUUGCUGAAAGGUCUUUAGAAGUAGUUGUGGAUUUAUACCAAAAAACAGCGUGUCACAAAGCAGUGGUGAAUGAGAAAGUGCUCCAGAAUAUUAUUAAGACUCUUAGGGUUCCUCUCAGUUUGAAGUAUUC
rnacentral:lncRNA from 1 species